CAAACAAGGAAAGACAAACGGAUCAAGUCGAUUAUAUCGACCCCAGUGCGUAACUGGUACUUAUUUAAUCGACCCCGAAAGGAUGAAAGGCAAAGUCGACCUCGGUGGAAUUCGAACUCAGAUCGUAAAGACAGACGAAAUACAGCUAAGCAUUUCGCCCGACGUGCUUAACGUUCCUGCCAGCUCACCGCCCUAUUACGAGGACUUGGUGCUUGCUAAGUCACUUUCUGAACAUUCCGAAAGGUAGAUAGGCACCUGUUCGAGGAGAUUCUGAAUUUCCUCAGUCAAUGUUUAACAUGAGAAAUGUUGCUAAUAAGAGUAUCUGAAUUGGAAGAGAGCGGCUUGUUGUUUUUGUUGAAGUGAGGAAAUGGAGACGAGGGGCUAAUUUGAUGUAGUGUGCCACUGUCAGAGGUCACCGUCUAUGGGGCAUUGUGGAUCAACGCCGAUCUUUCAAAAGCAGUAACGGCUGCUGAGAUGAUGGUCUGUAGUAGUACUUCCAGAGAAUGAACAAGAGCCGAGUCAUCAGUAUGCUAUGAUCAAAAGAUUUGUUCAGACUUGAACUUAUUAGAAGCCCAUAACAACUGAUGCCGGAGGUUAACAAAGGCUCCUACACGUUUUAUAGUUUAUGAUGAAGAAGAUAUACAUGUGUAUGUACAUGCGCGCAUGCAUAAAUAAAUCAACAUGGUCACAUAUUAGGAAAACAUCAAACAGUAAAGGUUGCUAGCAUGCAGCCAUGACUAAUUCCCGUUUAUUUACACUUGAAGGUGUCAGAUUUCUGCCCUCCGAAAAGCAAUUCAGGUCAUCAUUCAUGAGUAGAGCUGAGGGAGAUUUCACAAAUUUGGGUUUGGAACCAAAGUUUCAGAGAACAUCCAACGGAAGUUCUGUUUAUAUUGUUAAAAACCCUAGACACAUCAAAAGAUCAAAUGAACAGAUCCCAAUGUUUCACGCUGCUUUGUGAGAAAGAUAUUGGCUGUGCUUCAUUCAAUUCCAGUGGAAGUUGUACUGUGACUCUUGGAGCGAUGUUUUCUGAUAUUCAUUAACCGAGUCUUUUCGAACACGGAUUUGGUCAGGACGUUCCCUCUGCACUCAUGCCGUUUUUCUCGCUUCUCCUUGUAAUGAUCGGCACGAUUAUCUUCCAUUAUCUUCAAUCCCACCCCUACAGUGAGAAGCCAACUGCAGAACUGAAUCGUUGCAUAGCAUUGUCUUCCUCUUUUGCAAGGUUGAUGUUGCUUCUCUUCACAACGGUUCUACGAUUCUACUAUUGGACCAUAGUUGUCAUUCUCAUUUUUCUAGAUGCUGAAAACGAUAUCAGCAUCAUUGCACUAUUAACCCUUUGCCUGAUCUGUGUAUCACGAGAUACACAGGACAUGUUUCCCUGACGUCCAUGCAACAUAUAUGAUACACACUCGCAUUUUCCCCCUUAAUCAUCAAAGUAACUUGUGACUUAUCAAAAGAAAGCUUUACAUCACUCCCGACGUAUAUAACAAGGACUACUAACUUAGUCUGAAUAACAAGCACGGAUGUUUAGGACAAACUUAUGAAAAUGAUUUGGACAAGCAAAGAGUAAGUGGACGGUGCUCCUGAUUCCGACAGUUUAUCCAACAUUGUUGUAGCAAUGAAACUGUUCGUAUGUAGAGGUAACAACCCAUCACGCAACAUUUCUGCAAGAACGUCUGACCCAGGAAAUUUACAUUUUUCCAAGAAUUUUUUUAUAGCAACACAAACGUCAGCAAAGCACGGCUGGUUGUAAUAAUGGAUGAAAGAAAGAGAAUUCCACAAACUUGCUCCGUUACUGCUGCUGGAUCCACUUGUUUAAAAGCAUGUCGAAAUUUAUCCCCUCCCCGUUUUUUUUUAAAUAACUAUUGCGACUGGUCUUUUCAGUAGAGAUGUACCGAUUGAUGAUGACUAGACAGGUAUCAUUAAACAAUUCCUGAGACAAUAGACGAUGGUCUUUAUCCAAUCAUAAUAAGACAUUGUGCAUGUCUUGUUUGUCAGUAUGCAACUGACUGGGAUUUCGAUAAGAUCCACCGUAUUCAUUUAACAGACCAUAAAAGAUGGAUCUAACCUCUUUCAAAGAGACUGCGCCUUUUAGGGUAUGUGAUGAGGGAUUAUACAUAUCAUUCCAUCAGGAUCCUGGCAAUUGUUGGAGCUUUUCGUUUUGCAUGUGCCUGGGAGUGUAUACAUACAUACAUAUACAUACAUAUAUAUACAUACAUACAUAUAUAUACAUAUAUAUAUAUAUACAUAUAGGUGGAGUUUUGGAACAGGUUAUACUUCAUGGGGAAGGUUAAAUAAGAUUGGGGUGAAAGGAUGUUUGGGUUUUUUAAUGUUUUUUUAAUUAUUCCUGUAUUUCAUAAAACAGCAAUGACAAUGUUUGUGAAAGACUUUUCCCCAUAAAUUUCAGUAUUUUUUUUUACACUUUUGCCCCCAAUUCCAUGUCCCUUUUCCUUCCUCGUGAGACAGAUGGCUAUUCCGUAACUCCACGCACACACGGAUAAGCGUGUAAAUGUGCGCGCGCGCGUGUAUAAUAUAUAUAUAUAAAACACAUUUAUAAACGUGUAUAUAAUGUGUGUGUGUAUGUCCAACUUAUACCAGCAUGGAAAACGGACGUUAAAUGUUGAUAUCUAUAUAUACACCAACAUCACGUUGUGUGUAUAUAUAUAUAUAUAUAUAUAUAUAAAACUAUACAUUUAAACAAUUAUGUAUAAAUUCUUAACACACGCGUAUAUAUAUUGCUUAUAUUCACUUACACACACACACACACAUGCAUACUUAUACAAUGUAUUGUUAACUCCAUGUGAGUCCUGACCAUCGUUUUAUGUAGUGGCGAAGAUGGUACCUAGGACCACACUUUAAAUGUGUAUUGUUCUUUCCUGUAAAACAAUGGAGUGUAAUUUGAGGGAGAUUUGCUUACUAUUUCUUCUAAGUCGAAUGACUACAUAGGUAAAUCCCUUGUAAACAUGUGUGCAUAUUUAUUACAAGCUGAGCAGUAGCAUAAAAUGCUAAAAAAAAAAAAAAUGAAAAUAAAAUGCAUUGAAAUAACGACAGUUCUGAUGAGAAUAUGCUGUUGAUUUUAUCAAGGUUUGUUGAUACAUUUUAAGAAAGAUAAAUGACUCAAGGUAAACCAUUAUUUACAAUUGGCUGCGAAGUAGGAGAAAAAAAAAACAAAACAACUCAACAUUAAAUAAGAGAAGGGGGGAGGGGGAGAAAGAAAAAGGAAAGUGGAAAAAAAAAAAAAAGACAGCGAGAUAGAAAGAGAGAAAGUAUUAUUAGAGAUAAAGUGAAAGGGGGAGGGAGGUUAAUGUUGACAAGAUGGCUGCUGUAGUGAGGCGUUUUAGUUGUAAAUGUGAUCCAUCAAACGGCGGUUUUUCUUUGACGACAGGAAGAUCAGCUUCUGUACAGUCUUUUUUUUUAUAUAUAUAUAUUUACCAGAUUAUAGGAAAUAUAUAUUAUGUAUAAAUAUAUAUGGAGAGAGAGACAGAUAUAUUUAUUUAUUUAUUUUUAUUGAGUUACUUUUGUGUUUUAACUGCGGAAAUCGAAAACUAUGUCAGCCAGCACACACAGACACACACAUACAUAAAUAUUAUAACAUACACACAGAAUAAAUACACACAACAAUCAAAUAAAUAAUCUAACCUUUGUACAACUGCUUUUUACAUAUGUAUGUAUAUAUAUAUAUAUAUAUAAUUUUUCCCUUACUAAACUAAAUCAGUAAUAAUAAAAGACAAGACAUUAAAAGGCUCCCUUGAUCAUUCUUGUUCGUAUGUGCAUGUGUGCGAGACAGAUUUUUGUGUUUGUGUGUGUGUGUGUGUGUUCAUUGGCUGACAUAGUUUUCAAUUCCCAGUUAAAAUACAUAACCUUUUGGUGUAUUGUAUAGGGAGGAAAAAAAAAACCUACCAAUCUACGGCCAGAAUCCGUUUCGUCAUUCAUCGUCAUUGAAGUGCAAAAAUAUCCGCGAACCUGUUUUUUUGAAUAUUUAUUCUCCUUUUCGUUUUUUUUUUUUUUCUCACGUAAACUUUUACCUCAAAAAAAAAUUUUUUUAAAAAACAAAAAACCCUACUGUAGGUCUCUCCUUCCUUGGACACAGCAGUUUUCCAAGAAAAAAGAUUUAUAUUAUUAUUUUCUGUACGUGUUUAGAAAAUUAACAAAAUGGUACUCCGGUAUUAAUAUACAUACAUACAUAUAUAAAUAUUAAUGUGUAUAUGUAUAUAUAAAUAUAGGUGUGUCUAUGUAUAUCGCUAAAUAUAAAGCGUGGCAGAGAGAAAUGUGUCUUUGUAUCUUACUUUAUAUUGUGACAAAUAUAUAUAUAAAUAUAUAUAUAUAUUCAUAUAUAUAUAUGCAAAAUAUAGUUUAAAUGGCUUGUGGCCAGCAGAAAUUUGAUGUUAAUCUGCGGCCAACAAUAAAGACACCCGCAGAUUUACAGAAGUAAAGUAAGACUUCUCGUAGCUUUAUAAGAUUAUAAUAUUACUGCUUUCACUCCGUCUCUCACUUGAAGCUGAAAAACUCUUUUUGCCAAAUGAGUAUAUUCGUAUGCGUGUGCCUGUAGUAUCUGUGAACGCUCUAUAUAUAUACAUAUACGUGUAUGCAUAAAUAUAUAUAUAUGUAUACAUAUAUAUAUAUAUACAUAUACAUAUAUAUAUAUAUAUAUAUUUACAUAUAUAUAAAUAUAUGUAUAUAUAUAUAUAUAAUCAAUCUAUCUCAUUAGCUUAGCUCUCAGGGUAGCUAAAUCUUUUCACAACUGUCUCCUGUCAGUCCGCAUUGGAUAACAACGUCACAGCCACUGUCGGGUCAUGUGACAUGCGUUUUUCGUUACGUCAAACGCAUGUUUUGCGCACAUCACGUCCUGACCGCCAGAACGCAGUUAAGUGACUACAGAACGUCCGGACAAUGGCGCGACGUUUGAAGAUAGCAAAGGCUUAAACUCAUUUUCACUUGUCAGAUUUUAUUUACUACUUACUCAUAGUCAACACCCGAGCUCUAGCCGUAUCUUAUGUUUAAUUUUUUUUUAAAAAUUGUAUUUGUAUAUAUGUUGAAAUUAGCGAAGGAUAAAACUUGAUUAAUUACAGUGUGUAUACUGUAUUAUACGUUUACAUUUUGUACACACACACACACAUACACAUUUGUUCUUGUUUACCUUUCAGGUCUGUUUAAUCGAGCAAUCCGGCGAUUAUAGUUUGUUCAACCUUUGGGCAUUCUGUCAUAGGGUAUGUCUUGGACUAUACCAUCAAACUAUCUCCUUUUAUUUAUUUAUUUAUUUAUUUUCUUUUUAAAGCUUUUCCAGUCAUUUGACCGGUCAUGCUGGGGCAUCACCUUGAAACAUUUUUUAAUCGAAAGCAUUGACACCCCCCCCAGUACUUAUUCUAUCGAUUCCUUUUGCAGAACCGCUAAGUUACUGGGACGUAAAUACCAACACCGGUUGUCAAGCAGUGGUAGUGGUGGGAGGACAAAUAUACACACACACAUAGACAUACGGUGUGGUGCUGAAAAGUUCCUGGCUUUGGGUAAAAGAAAAUACAGGAGGAUCAGUUAAUUAUGAUUUUAUUCAACAUAUUCCCUCUCAGAUUCACACACUCAUUACAGCGGGCCUUCAGUUUUUCUAAGCCCUGUAAAAGAACUCGGAAAGUUGGGCCUCCAUCCAGGCCUUUCGAAACACCCUUAAAGCAGGGAAUUUUUCAGCACCCCUUCGUGUGUAUGUAUACAUAUAUAUAUAUUUAUUUUAUAGAAGGAGCUUCUACAGGACUAGAACUGUUUCAUCCUGUAGAAGCUCCUUCUAUAAAAUAAAUUAAUUUACUCUGCUAUGUAUUGAGUACCUUAUUUACUGUGGUUAACCCCGACUCAACCCGGGACCUACAUAUAUAUAUAUAUAUAUUGUUUGGCAAUUUUUAACAUCUAUGUAUUAGUCUUGUUGGGUACCUAUCUAGCAGUAUAUUGGAUAUAUGUUAUCCCAUGGUGGGUUGAAUUUUCAACCCCUAUCUCAUUUUAUAUAUAUAUAUAUAUAUAUGUAUAUACACACACACAUACAUACGAAUAUUCUAGGGGGUUCUUUCAGCUUCCGUCUACCAUAUUCACUCACAAGGCUUUGGUCGUCCCCAAGUUAAAAUAAAAGACACUUUUCCCAAGGUGACACGCAGUGAACUCUCCGAACUGAGUGGUUGGGAAGUAAGCUUCUUUACCAUACAAACCACGCCUGAUCUAUCUUGUUAUUUCUCUGAGAUCCGUCUCGUGUUUUCUGUUACUGAUAUUCACUGAGGCAAAAAUCAAUGCUCGUUUCUAUAGGUGCAGCUGUGGUGUUGUAGUAAGAAGCUUGCUUCUCAACCACAUGGUUCCAGGUUCAGUCAGACGGUAUGGCGCCCUGGGCAAAAUGUCUUCCACUUACAGCCUCAGGCCAGCUAUAAAGCCUUGUGAGUGGAUUUGGUAGACGGAAACUGAAAGAAGCACGUCGUAUAUACAUACAUACAUGUGUGUGUCUUUGUGACUGUUUGUCCCUCUCAGCCAUGUUGGUGUGUUUACGUCGCUGUAAUCUAGCAGUUCGACAAAAGAAAUCGAUUGAAUACCAGGCUUUAAAAAAGUACUGAGUUUGAUUCACUUGACUAAAAAAUUUCCUCUAGACAGUGCCCCAGCAUGGCCAUAAUCUAAUGACUGAUACAAGUAAAAAAAAUAAUAAAGUCUAUAAAUUUAACUAAGGAUAUUGACAACAUGACAUGAAUAGUUUGUGUUGCUUUCCCGAAAUAACUGUUUUCUUUAUAACUUAAUUUGCAUAUUUUUAUGAAAUUUUACAGGUACAUAUUUCACAGGUGUAAAUUAUAAUUAUUAUUUUAAUGUACUACUAGUUUUAAACAUUUGACUGGGGUCAUGCUGAAACAACCUUGAUACAUAUUUUUGAGCCUGGUACUUAUUCCAUCGAACUUUGCUAAGUUAUGGGGAUGUAAACAAACCAACACCAGUUGUCAAAUGGUGGUGAGGGACAAACACAUACAUAGAUGAGUGUGUGUGUCUGUAUAUAUACAUCGCUCAAUGACAACACUCAACCUCUUUUCACCGGGGGGAGGGGGUUUUCUAAAUUCUGUGUGGUGUCUGCGCUUUUUUUCUUUUUCUUUUUUUUUUCCUGUGGGGGGAAGGGGGCGGGUGGGAUGGAGUUGGACUGGGGGUACCACAUCACACUCAGUGUUCUUUUCUUCCUCUUCUUCCUUCUACUCUGUUACUAUCCAUUCUUCCUUUGACGAUAUGCUGUAUUUGAGAAGACCCAUCAAGCUAAGUAAGAUUGUAGUCGUAGACGAUGCCAGUGUUGUGUAACUGGAGCAUAAAAAGCAUCCUUGAAACGUUUGGUGAUAUGUUGUGCUUGAGAAAACCUGUCAAGUCAAGUGAAAUCGUAGUUGUGGUCAAUGCCAGUGCUGUUUGACUGGCACCCAUGCCAGUGGCACAUAUAGAGCACCGUUCAAGCAUUGGGUGUCACGGAGGCAGUGACAGGUGACCAAGACCUUUGGGGAUACACUGUUCUUGAGAAGACCUGUCAAGCCAAGUGAGAUCUUAGUUAUGGCCGAUGCCUGUAUCAGAUCAAUAGCACUGGUGCCAGUGGCACAUAAGAAGCACCACUCUUAGAGUGGUUGUCAUUAGGAAGGGCAGUCAGCCUUAGAAACCCUACCAAAUCAAAAUGGAACUUGAUGCAGCUUACCAGUUUUCAGUCAAACUGUCCAACCCAUGCCAGCAUAGAAAGCAGACGUUAAAUGAUGGUGAUGAUACACACACACAUGUAAUCACAUGGUCCUGGGUAGUCCACUAGAAGCAAGUGUCUUCUACUAUAGUUUUAGACUGACCAAAGCCUUGUGAGUACAGUUGAUAGACAGAAACUGAAAGACCAUAGUAUUUAUACACACACACAUGUAUGUUUGUGGUUUGUGUCUGUGUUUGUCCCACUACCACCGCCUGACAACUUGGUAGUUCAGUAAAAGUAGACUGAUAGAAAAAAAAAUAUAUACUGGGAGGUCAAUUUUUUGGACUAAAAUUCUUCAAAGCAGAGUUCCAGCAUAGAUACAGUCUAAAAUGAUUGAAGCAGGUAAAAGUUAAAAGAUGUAUUUGUGUAUAUAUUUAUAUACAUAUGUACAAACUUAGAGAUGCUAUGGAGUAAGACAGACUUGUAAUGUUAGAGUUGUAAAGUUGACAAUCUACUCCAUGUUUUGCACUCUUUCCGUCUAUUAAAUUCCCUCACAAUGCACUUGGUUUGGAGCCAUAAAAGAAGACACCUGCUUCUUAAAAAUACAGCCAUGCCUUAUGCCUAUUGUAUUGCUAUAUCUUAUCUUGCUUUUUUUUUUUCCCCAUUUCAUUUCAGAAAGAAAAGUCCAUUCAAUAACUACUUGCUUAUGAUCGUUGUGAAAUAAGAGAGACAGAACACAUUGCAAGAUGUAAUCCAGAAUACUUUCAAUCCAAUAAGUUAGAUUAGUUUAUUAAUGCAAUCUAUAUUGUAAGUAGGCUAAAUCUGAAUUUAUCUUUGUUCUUUCAUCAUGCCUACUAAUUUUAUGUUCAUAAAAAAUAACAUCAAUCAGAAUGAUGCAAUUAAUAAUUUGUAUGUUUGGGCAAUGAUCUCAAGUGAGAUAUUUGUUUAAAAGAUAUAAAUUUUUUCUUUUUUUUUUCAACUUAAAAAAUAAUGAUAAUAACAAUAAGUUCAAAUUUAUUCACAAGGCCAAUAGUUUUGAGACAAGUUGGGCAAAUCAUUACUAUUGAACCUAAUACUUGUGAUUUCGUUGUUGUUAAAAUAAACACUGAGUGAAGGUAACAUAGGCGGUAAAAGGAGAUAGAGAAUACUAAGUAAAAAUAAAAUAAGUGAGGGAGGAGAGGGAGAAGACUGAGUGAAAAUAACAUAGGACAGGAAGAUGAGGAAGAAUACCCAGUGAAGGUAAUGUAAAAGAUGAAGGACAAGGAGAACACUGAGUGAAGGUAGCAUAGGAGAGGGAGAAUGCUGCAAGAAGGUAACAUGGGAGAGGGGAAAUAUUGCGUGAAAGUAAUAUAGAAGGGGAAGGAGGAGAAUACUGAGUGAAAGUAAUAUAGGAGAGGGAGAAUAGUGAGUGAAGGUAACAUAGGAGAGGGAGAAUAGUGAGUGAAGGUAACAUAAGAGGGAGAAUAGUGAGUGAAGGUAACAUAAGAGAGGAAGGAGUGGGAGAAUACUGAGUGAAGAUAAUAUAAAAGGAGAAGGAGAAUACUGAGUAAAGGUAACGGGUUGAAGGAGAGGGAGAAUACUAAGUGAAGGUAAUAUAGGAGAUGGAGAAUACUAAGUGAAGGUAAUAUAGGAGAGAGAAUACUAGGUGAUGGUAACAUAGGAGCAGUUGAAGAUGGAGAAUACUGAGAGAAGGUUAUGUAGGAGAGGGAGAAUACUGAGUGAAGUUAACAGAUGAGAGGGAGAAUAUUGCAUGAAGUUAACAUAGGUGAAGGUAAUAUAGGGUUGGAAAGGGAGGGAGAAUACUGAGUGAUGGUAAAAUAGGAGGGAGCAUAGUGAGUGAAGGUAACAGACAAGAGGGAGAAUACUGAGUGAAGGUAACAUAGGAGAGGGAGCAUAGUGAGUGAAGGUAACAGACAAGUGGGAGAAUACUGAGUGAAGGUAACAGAGGGAGCUUAGUGAGUGAAGGUAACAGACAAGAGGGAGAAUACUGAGUGAAGAUAACAGGAGAGGGAACAUAAUGAGUGAAGGUAACAGACAAGAGGGAGAAUACUGAGUGAAGGUAACAGGAGAGGGAGCAUAAUGAGUGAAGGUAACAGACAAGAGGGAGAAUACUGAGUGAAGGUAACAUAGAUGACGGAAAAUACUAAGUGAUGCUAAUAUAGGGUCAGAAGGAGAGGGAGAAUAAUGAGUGAAGGUAACAUAGGAGAGGGAGAAUAAUGAGUGAAGGUAACAUAGGAGAGGGAGAAUGCUGAGUGGAAGUAAUAUAGAAUGGAGAGGAGAGGAAAAUAUUGAGUUACAGUAACAUAGAAGGAGAAUACUGAGUAAAGGUAACAUAGUGGAGAUAGAAUUCUGAGUGAAGGUAACAUAGGUGAAGGAGAAUAUUAAUUGAACGUAAUAUAGGGGAGGAAGGUGAGGGAGGAUAGUAAGUGAAGGUAACAUAGGAGAAGAACCAGAUGGAGAAUACUAAGUGAAGGUUAGAUAGGAGAGGGAGAAUACUGUGUGAACAUGACAUAAGGUAGGGAGAAUACUGAAUGAAGGUAAUAUAGAAAGAGAAGGAAAGGUCUAAUACUGAGUGAAGGUAGGAGAGGGAGAAUACUGAGUGAAGGUAACUUAUGAGAGGGAGAAUGCUGAGUGAUGGUUAGGAGAGGAAGAAUACUGAGUGAAAGUAACAUAGGAGAGGGUGAAUAUUGAGUGAAGGUAACAUGGGAAACGAAGGAGAGGGAGAAUAUUGAGUGAUGGUAAUGUCAAAGGGGAAAGAGAGGGAGACUACUGAGUGAAUGUAACAUAGAAGAAGGAGAGGGAGAAUACUGAGUGAAGGUAAUAUAGUAGGGGAAGGAGGAGAAUACUGAGUGAAAGUAAUAUAGGAGGGAGAAUAGUGAGUGAAGGUAACAUAGGAGAGGGAGAAUAGUGAGUGAAGGUAACAUAAGAGAGGGAGAAUACUGAGUGAAUGUAACAUAGAAGGAGGAGAGGGAGAAUACUGAAUGAAGCUAACAAAGGAGGGAGAAUACUGAAUGAAGGGAACAUAGGAGAGGAGAAUAGUGAGUGAAUGUCACUGAGGGAGAAUACUGAAUGAAGAGAACAGGAGGAAGAGAAUACUGAGUGAAGGGAACAUAGAAUAGAAAUGAUGAGAGGUAAAUUAACCCAUUAAGCAUUUUCUGAUGUGCUAAGGAUUCUGCCAAUUCACUGCUUUUAUAAUGUUUUCAAACUUUGGCAGUAGGUCAUCAGUUUGAGGCAAAAGGGUAAGCCGUUUGCAUUAAUCCUUGUUCUCAGAUAACAUUUCAUCUUAUUGGUCCUGAAAGAAUGAUAGUCAAAGUUGACCUUUGUGGAAUUAGAAUUCAGAAUAUAAUGAAUCAGAAAAUAUACUGCUGGUCAUUAUUUCCAUGCUAAAGCUUCUGCCAACUCCUCACCUUAAUAAUAAUAAUAUUAAUUCUUUCUACUAUAGACACAAGACCUGGAUGGUCCAGCGCUCAAGAUGUACUUAUCUUACAGACCCCAAAAGAAUGAAAGGCAAAGUUGACCUUGGCAUGGUUUGAACUCAGAAUGAAACCAGAAAAAAAUUAUUGUCCUGCAUGUUACUGAUUUUUUUGCCAGCUCCCUACCUUAAUUAUAAUAAUAUUAAUUGCCCAAAUUUUUUUCUACAAAGCCAGCAGUUUUACAGGAUGUUGGGGGUUAUUUUAUUCAUCCCUGAAAGAUAAAAACCAGAGUAGAACUUAGCAAGAUUUGAACUUACAAUGUAAAGAGCCAGAAGAAAGGCCACUUAGCAUUUUCUCUGAAGCAUGAAUGAUUCUACCACCUUGCCACAUGAUAAUAAUAAUAAUAAUCCUUUCUACUAUAGGCACAAAGCCUGGAAUUUGUGGGGAGGGAGAUAAUCAAUUACACCAACCCCAGUACUUGACUGGUUCUUAAUUUAUUGACCCUGAAAGGAUGAAAGGCAAAGUUGACCUCGGCAGAAUAUGAACUCAGAAUGUUAAGACAGAUGAAAUACUGCUAAACAUUUUGCUCAACAUAAUGAUUCUGCCAGCUCACCACCUUUUCAAUAAUAAUAAUAAUCUUUUCUACUAAAGGCACAAGGCCUGAAAUAUGGUGGGUAGGGGACUAGUCGGUUAUAUCAACUCCAGUGUUUCACUGGUACUUAAUUUAUUGACCCCGAAAGGAUGAAAAGCAAAGUUGACCUCAGCAGAAUAUGAACUCAGAAUGUUUAGACAGAUAAAAUACCACUAAACAUUUUGCCUAAUGUGCUAACAAUUCUGCCUGCAUGCCACCAUUCACACUUGCAACAAAAAAAUCUCUGUCCCAUUUUAAAGAAAAGAAAUAUGUCCCAGUAUGUGUUACUUUGAGUAGAUGUUAUCUACAAUAGCGUUGAACUGCCCAAAGCCUUGUGAGCAUCUUUGGUAGACAAAAACAGAAAGAAGCCCAUAGUGUGUAUAUAUACAUGUGUGUGUGUCUAUGUGUGUGCCACUCACUACCACUUAGCAACCAGAUUUGUUUUUUUUUAAAUAGCAGUUUGGCAUUAGAGAUCAAUAGAAUAAGUACUGGGUUUUAAAAAGAAUAUUAUUACUGAGGUGAAUUCAUUCAGCUAAAACCUUCAGGGAAGUACCCCAGCAUGGCCAUUGUUCAAUGAUUGUAAAAACUGAAAGCUGAAGGAACAAAAGAUGAAGAAUAAGAAUGUGCUUAGUUGUCUACAUCAUUAUAUUGAUGCAGGAGUGGCUGUGUGGUAAGUAGCUUGCUUACAAGCCACAUGAUUCUGGGUUUAGUCCUACUGCAUGGCACCUUGGGCAAGUGUCUUCAACUAUAGCCUCAGGCCAACCAAAACCUUGUGGGUGGAUUUGGUAGACAGAAAACUGGAAGAAGCCUGUCAUAUAUAUGUGUGUGUUUGUGUAUAUGUGUAUGCAUGUAAUUGUGUGUCUGCGUUUGUGCCCUCCCCCCGUCACUUGACAACCGAUGUUGGUGUGUUUAUGCCCCCAUAACUUAGCAGUUUGGCAAAAGAGACCGAUAAAAUAAGUACUAAGGCUUACAAAGAAUAAGUCCUGAGGUUGAUUUUUUUCGACUAAAGGCAGUGCUCCAGCAUGGCCACAGUCAAAUGAUUGAAACAGUAAAAGAAUAUACUGAGAAAAAGUAUAUGCACAGAGAACAUGUGGGAAAACACUGAAUCAAAAUUAUGAAGACAGAAGUGGAAUGAGAUCCAUGAAUGGCAGAUCCAUGAUCCAAUGAGAUCCAUGAUCCAAUCAUGUAGACAUGAGAAAACCAAACACUGGAUUAUAUACUCUCUCUCUUUACUAUUUGACUUGUUUCAGUCAUGUGACUGUGGCCAUGCUGUAGCACCGUCUUUAGUCGAACAAAUCAGUUGACUUGUUCUUUGUAAGCCUAGUACUUAUUUUAUCGAUCUCUUUUGCCGAACCACUAAGUUACAGGGACGUAAACACACCAGCAUCAGUUGUCAAGUGAUGUUGGAGGGACAAACACAGACACACAAACAUAUCCACAUACGUACAUAUAUAUAUAUAUAUAUACAUAUAUACGAUGGGCUUCUUUUAGUUUCCGUCUACCAAAUCCACUCACAAGGCUUUGGUCGACCUGAGGCUAUAGUAGAAGACACUUGCGCAAGGUGCCAUGCAGUGGAACUGAACCUAGAACCAUGUGUUUGGUAAGCAAGCUACUUACCACACUGCCACUUCUACACCUAUCAUUAAGAAAAAAUACAGAAUGACCUAAAUCAGUGGUUCUCAACCAUUUUUUACCUAUAGACCCUCCUAGCCAAUCAAAGAUUAACCUUAUGUUUUUAUAAUUAAAUAUUAGGAAUUGUGUAAAAAUAAUUGUUUAAAAUAUUUUGUAUACUGUAGAAAUAUAAUCAAAUUAUUGCACAUAGAUUUUAAGAACAGAAUCUUCUAUGGACACCCAAAGGUCAUGUGGACCCCAGUUGACAGAUUUUAAGAACAGAAUCUUCUAUGGACACCCAAAGGUCAUGUGGACCCCAGUUGACAGCCACUGGUCUAAAUGAAGAUAUAGAAAAGGAAGAAAAUGAAAAAUCCUAGGGGAAGGUUAUAUAAAAGAAGGGAAAAGAAAAACAUACUGUGAAGGUCGUAUAGAUAAAGGCGUGGUGGUGGUGGUGGGAGAAUACUAAGUGAAGGUAAUAUAGAAGAGGAAGGUUAGGGAGUAUAUGAGUGAAGGUGUUUUAGAGAGAAAGGAGGGGUAUGAUGAGUGAAGACUUAAUAUAUAAGAGUGGGGUGAGGAAGAAUAAUGAAUGAAAGUAAUUCAGAAGAGGAACAGGAGGAAGAAUACUAAGUGAAGGUAAUAUAGAAGAGUAAGGAGAGGGAGAAUAAUGAGUGGAGGUGAUAUAGAAGAGGGUGGAGAAGGAGAAUGCUGAAUGAAGGUUAUAUAGAAGUGGAAGGGGAGGGAGAAUACUGAGUGGAGGGGAUAUAGAAGAAUGGGAGGAAGACUACUGAGUAAAGGUAAUACAGAAGAAGAGGGGAAAUUAUAGAGAAGAGGAGGGGGGGAGAAUACUGUGAUGAUAAUAUAGAAGACAAAGGAGUGGGAGAAUGCUGGGGGGAUGUAAAUAAAGAAGAGGAAAAAUAAGGAGAAAAAUGUGUAAAGGUAAAAUAAAGCAGUACGGGGGGGGGGGAGAAUAAUAAGUGAAUGUGAUACAGAAAGGGAAAGGGGAAGAAGAAAACUGAGUGAAGGUAAAAUAGAAGAGAAUCAGGAGGGAAAGAAAUAAUGAAAGUACCGUAAAUCCUUGAGUAUAAUCCACAUUUUUUACCUAAAAUUUAAAGGUCAAAAUCCCUAGUGCGUACUAUAUAAAAAUGAAAAUUAUUUUCUUAGCACUGUCCGAGUCUCUAUUUGCUGUCCGGCAAUGUUUAUUCUCACGCAUUUUGUGAUGUCAGGCGUGAAAAUACCUUAAUCUAAGCCUGAAAGCAAUGAAGUCAUAAAAGAAUCAUCCAUAACUUGCAAUACGCAACAUUUAUUAAAUGUUAUUACUGUUAUUUCUUUAUUUUCUGCAAACAAAAUGCACAAAAAAGCUACACGUUUGUAUUAUGUUAUAUCAUCAUCAUCAUCAUCAUCGUUUAGCGUCCGUUUUCCAUGCUAGCAUGGGUUGGACGGUUCUACUGGGGUCUGAACCAUCCAAUACAAUAAUAAUAAAGGAUGUUACUGUAUACAUUUUUACAAACCAAGGACGUUAUAUAGACCGCCUUGACUUAAGUUAGACUUAAGUAUUAUACACAAGGUUUAGGUUUUUCAGAGGUAUAGCCCCCUAAAAAUCCCCUGUGUAUUAUACUCAAGGACUGACUAUACUUGAGGAUUUACGGUAAUAUAGAAGAGGAAGGGCAGCAAGAAUACUGAGUGAAGGUGAUAUAAAAGGGGAAAGGGAAGGAGUAUACAGAUUGCAGGUAAUAUAGAAGAGGGGGAGAGGAAGAAGAAUGUGUAAAGUUAAUAUAAAGGAGGAAGGGUAGGGAGAAUACUAAGUAAAGAAAGAAGAAAAAAGUGGAGAGAAUAUUGGGGGAAGAUGAUAUAGAAUAGUAUGGGUAGGGAGAAUACUGAGUGAAGGUAAUAUAAAAAAAGGAAGGGUAGAGAGAAUAAGUGAAGGCAUGAGAAUGCUGAGGGAAGGUGUAGGAGAAGACUGAGAAAAAUCAUAUAAAAGACGAAGGGAUGGAGAGUACUGAGUGUAGGUAAUAUUGAUGAGGAAGAGUCAGAAGAAUACAAAGGGAAGGCAAUAUAGAAGGGUGGGAGUGAGAAUACUGAGUGAAGGUGAUACUGAAGAUGAAAGGGAGGGAGAAAAUGAGUGAAGGUAAUAUAGAGGAAGUGGAGUGGGGAGAAUACUGAGUGAGAUUAUGUAGAAGACAAAGGUGAGAGAGAAUACUGGGGGAAAGUAAUAUAGAGGAGGAAGGAGGGAGAAUUUCGAGUGAAGGUAAUAUAGAUGAGGAAGUAGAGGGAGAAUACUGAUUGAAGAGAAAUGGGAGGGAGAGUACUGAGUGAAGGUAAUGUAGAAAUAGGGCAGGAAGCAGAUUACUGUGUGAUGGUGAUGUAGAAGAGGAAGUGGAGGGAGAAUUCUGAGUGAAGGUAAUAUAGAAGUGGCAGGAGAAUACUGAGUGACAGUAAUAAAGAAGAUGAAAGGUAGGGAGAAAAAUGAACGAAUGGAAUAAAGAAGAGGAACAUCAGGGAGAAUCCUGAGUGAAAGUAAUAUGGAAGAAGGGAAUGGAGAAUUCUGGUAAAGUUAAUAUAAAAGUGGAAAGAGAAUACUGAGUGAAGGUAAUAAAGGAGAGGAAAAAUACUGAGUGCAGGUAGUAUAGAGGGGAGGGCAGAGGGAGAAAGCUGAGUGCAGAUAAUAUAGAGGAGGAGGGCAAGGGAGAUUACUAAGUGGAUGUUAUAUAGAAGAAGAAGGGAAAGGUAAUGAUAAGUAAAUGGUGGCGAGGAGAAUACUGAGAUAAGGCAAUAUUGAAGAGAAGGAAGAAGAAUACUGAGUGCAAGUAGUACAGAAGAGGAAAAGGAGGGAAAAAUGAGUUUACUGUAAUAUAAAAGAGGAAGUGGAGGGAGAAUAUCGAAUAAAUAGAAGAGGAAGGGGAGGAAGAAUAUUGAGUGAGGAUGAUAUAUAGAAGAGGAAAGGAGGAGGAGAAUAUUGAGUGAAGAUAAUAUAGAAGGAGUAAAAAUGUGAAGGUUAUAUAUGAGAGGAAUGGGAGGGAGUAUACUGAGUGAUGGCAAUAUGGAAGAGGAAGGCAAGGGAGAAUACUGAGUGUAAGUAAUACAGAAGAGUGGAGAGGAGGAGAAUAACGAUUGAAGGUAAUAUAGAAAAGUAAAUGGGGUGAGAAUACUGAGAGUGAAGGGGAAGGAGCGGGAGUAUACUGAGUGAAGGUAAUAUAGAAGAAGUGAGAGAAUACUGUGUGAUGGUAAUACAGAAAGGGAAUUGGAGGGAGAAUAGUGAGUGAAGGUAAUAUAGAAGAGGGUGGGGAAUGACAGUAGAGAGUGAAGGUAAUAUUGAAGACAAAAGAGGAGAAUACUGGGGGAAGGUAAUAUAAAAGAAGAAGGGAAGAGAGAAUACGAAGUGAAGGUAACAGAUGAAGAAAGAGAAGGAGAGUGAACAUAAUAUAGAUGAAAAAGUAGAGGGAGAUUACUGAGAGAAGAUUAUAUAGAAGAGGAAGGGGUAGGGAAGAAUUCUCAGUGAAAGUAAUAUAGAAGCAAAGUGAGAUUUCUGCGUGAAGAUAAUAGAAGUGAUGAAUGGUAGGGAGAAUAACGAGUGAAGGUAAUAUAGAGGAGGAAUGGGAGGAAGAAAACUGAGUGAAGGUUAAAAAGAAGUGGAAGGAGCUUGGAGAAUAGUGAGUAAAGGUAAUAUGGAAGAAGGGGUGGGAGAAUAAUGGGUAAAGUUAAUAUUGAUGAAAAAGGAGAGGGUGAAAUCUGACUAAAAGAAUAGAACUCUAAGUGAAGUUUAUAUAGAAAAAGGAAAGGAAAGAAGAAAUCUGAGUGAAAGUUUUAUAGAAAAGGAAGGUGGAGGAGAGCCAAAGUGAAGGUUGCACAGAAAAUGAAGGCAAUGGAGAAUGCUAAAUGCAGGUUAAAUAGAACUGACAGAAGUUUAUUUUGAAAAGAAUGGAAGAAAGACCUCUGAAUGAAUGAAGCAGGGGAGAAAGCAAAGUGAAGGUAAUAUACAAAAAAGUCGGGAGAAGAACUCUGAUUGAAGGUUGCAUAGAAAAUGAAAGCAGGGAAAUUCACUGAUUGAAGGUUAUAUAGAAAUGGUAGGAUAGAACACUGAGUGAAGUUUAAAUAGGAUACUCUCUGAUGGUUAUAUAGAAAUGGAAGGGAUGGGAGAACACUAAGUGAAGGUUAUAUAAAAAAUGAAAGGCAGGGAGAACACUGAGUAAAGGUUAUAUAGAAAAUGAAGUGGGAGGAAAUUAUUAAUGAAAGUUAUUUUGAAAAAGAACCCUCACUGAGUGAGGGUUAUAUAGCAAAUAAUGAAGGAGGAGAAUAUUAAGUGAAGGUUAUAUGAAAAUAAAUGAGAGGAAGAUCACCGUGGGUAGGUUAUAUAGAAAUGGAAGAGAAGGGAGAAUAAUAAGUGAUAGUUACAUAAAGAGGGAAGGGUAGGGAGAAUGAAUGAAGAGUAUAUAGAACAAGAAUGGGUGGUAGAUCAUUUACUGAAGGUUAUAUAGAAAAGGAAGGGGAGGGAGAACACUGACUAAAGGUUACAUGGGAAAGAAUGUUAAGGAGAACAUUCAGUGAAAGUUAUAUUGAAAAGAAGGUUGGGGAAAAAGUGAAGGGAAGGUUAACUAGAUAAAGAGGAGGGAUGAAUAUUGAGCAAAGGUUAUAUGAAAAAGGAAGUGGUGGGGAAAUACUGAGUGCAAGUUAUAUAGAAAAUAAACAUGAGGGAGAUCAUUGAGUGAAUGGUAUCAUCAUUGUUUGGCGGCGAGCUGGCAGAAACGUUAGCACGCCGGGUGAAAUGCGUAGCCGUAUUUCGUCUGCCGUUACGUUCUGAGUUCAAAUUCCACCGAGGUCGACUUUGCCUUUCAUCCUUUCGGGGUCAAUUAAAUAAGUACCAGUUAUGCACUGGGGUCGAUAUAAUCGACUUAAUCCGUUUGUCUGUCCGUGUUUGUCCUCUCUGUGGACAGCCCCUUGUGGGUAGUAAAGAAAUAGAUAUCAUCAUUGUUUAACGUCCGUUUUCCAUGCUAGCAUGGGUUGGAUGGUUUGACUGGGAUCUGGGAAGCCAGGAGGCUGCACCAGGCUCCAGUCUGAUCUGGCAGUGUUUCUACAGCUGGAUGCCCUUCCUAAUGCCAACCACUCUGUGACUGUAGUGGGUGCUUUUUAUGUGCCACCAGCACAAGGGCCAGAGGAAGCUAGCAACGGCCACAAUUGGUUGGUGUUUUUUAUGUGUCACCGGCAUGGCUGCCAGUCAAGGCGGCGCUGGCAUUGGCCACGUUCAGAUGGUGCUUUUUAUGUGCCACAGGCUUGGGUAUCACAAAUACAAUUUCCAAUUGAUUUUUAUUUUGAUGUUGAUGGUAUAUAGAAAAGAAAAGGGAGAGAGAAAAUUAAGUGAAUGUUAUAUUGAAAAGAAUGGAGAAUAAGGACCCUAAAAGAAAGGUUAUAUAGAAAAAUGACAGGGAGAAAGAACACUAAGAGAAGGGAGAACAUUAAGUAAGGAUGUCGAGUAUAAUCUGAAGUGAAUGAUAAAUAGAAAAUGAAAAGGAGAGAGAACAUCAAGUAAAAGGUUACAUGAAAGGUGGGGAGAGAACCUAAAGUAAAGUAUAUAGAUAAAAAACAAGAAGGGGGUGGCAGGAGAACACUGAAUAGGUGGGAGGUCACUGACUGAAGCUUAUACAGAUAUUGAGAGAGACAUUAAGUGAAGUUUAUACAAAAACUACACUAGAAGGAGAUUAUUGCGUAAAGAUUUUUAUAGAAAUGCAAUGGAGAGGAGGAAAGAACACUACAUGGAAGUUAUAUGGAAAUGGGGUUCAAGGAUAAUAUAUUAGCUGAAGGUAGGCAGCAAAUUGGCAGAAUCAUUAGCAUAUCGGACAAAAUGAUUAGUGGCAUUUCAUCUGCUUUUACAUACUGAGUUCAACUUGCAUUGAGGUUGACCUUCAGGAUCAAUGAAAUAAGUACCAGUUGAGCACUGGGGUCGAUGUAAUUGAAUUCCUGAAAUUGCUGGCCUUGUGCCAAAAUACGAAACCAUUAUUAUUAUUGUUAUCAUUAUCAUCAUCAUUAUUAUUUUCAUAUACACAUAACAGAUUAGACUGUGGAUUGUUGGAAAAGAAAAAAAAAUCCUAACAUUGGGCUACAAGUUACCUUAGGUGCCAAGAACCCUCUUAAGUAUUCUAGCUCUCCCUAAUAACACUGUUAUCUUUAUUCAAAUACACUCAACAGAUUAGACUUGGAAAAGAAAAGAAUCCUAACAUCAGUCUACAGCAAGUAACCUUAGAUGCCAAGAACCCUCCUAAGUAUCCUAGCUGUCCCUAAUAAUGCUGUUUUCUGGAGCUGUACAAAACUGGGUUUUAUGCCUAUUUCCACUAUCUAUCUGUUCAAAUCUUUAGGUAUAGUUCUCAAUGCACCUAUAUUGGGAUACAUUUUACCAGCACUUUCCAUAGACUCUGUAAUUCAAUGGUUAUAUCUUGGUACUUUGCUAAUUCUUCUAUUCUUCUCAUAUUAAUUUUUUCAUCAUUUGGGACUGUAAAGUCAAUUAUCUGGCACUUUCUAUUGUCUUUAUCUACUACUAUGAAAUCAGGCUAGAUAGCCUGAUUUCUAUUACUCUUUCAGUCUGAAUGUUAAAGUCCCACAGCAUCUUGUACUUCUUACUUUCUACUACUUUACUAGGUUCAUGUUCAGACUAUUUAUCAGUACAUUCAAAUCUUAGCUUUCUACAUAGCUUCCAGCAGAUUGCUCACCCUAGAUUGUCACGUCUUUUAUUGUAUUCUUUCUUUGCCGGCACGCUACAUUCACUUACUAUAUGAGUGAUGCUUUCCUCUUUUGAUUUACAUAAUUUAUAUUGGGAAUUUCCUUGGCUUUUAUCCAAUUAGUCCUUAAUGCUUGAUCUUAUGCAGCUAGCAAACUUUCUGUUUCCCUCCUCAGCUUUAUUAUUAUUAUUAUUAUUAUUAUUAUUAUUAUUAUUAUUAUUAUUAUUAAGGCAGCAAGCUGGCAGAAUAGGUAAAAUACUUUGUGGUAUUUCACCCAUCACUACAUGUUCUGAGUUCAAAUUCCACUCAGGUCAAAUUUACCUUUCAUCCUCUCAGGGUCAAUAAAUUAAGCACCAGUGAAACACCAGUCUUUUUGCAUAUAACCUGCAUUUAGUGUUCUCUACUCUUUUCCUUUUCUAUAUAGUCUUCCUUAGUGUUUUCCAUACAAUUUGUUUUCCUCCAAAAGCAUCAAUCAGGGAUCUCUCUUCCCUGCCAUUUCUAUAUAACCAUCACUGUUACUUUCCUUCUUCCAUUUGUUCCUGUCUAUAACCAUCAUUUAUGGAUUUCUCUCCCCUUACCAUCAUUUAUGGAUCGCUUUCCCCUUCCUUUUCUAUACAACCUUCAUUUAAUAUUCUCCUCACCCUUUAUUUUCUAUAUAAACUUUAUUCAGUGUUUUCCCACCCAUUGCUCUUUUAUACAAACUAAACUUAAUGGUCCCCUCCUCUCCUUUCCUAUAUAUAUCCUCCACUCAGUGAUCUCCCUCCUAUUUAUUUUCUAUAUAACCUUCCUUUAGGGAUCUACCUCUCUUUCCUUUUCUACAUAACCUUCACUUAAUAUUCUCCCACCUAUUUAUUUUCUAUAUAACCUUCACUUAGUGUUUUCCCUCGCCUUUAUUUUCUAUAUAACCUUCCUUCAGUGUUCUUCCUCCCCUUCUUUUCCUAUAUAACUUGCAUUCAGAGUUCUCCCUUCACCUUUUCCUCUAUAUAACCAUCACAUAAUUUUCUCCUCACACUUCAACUUCUAUAUACUAUUCAAUCAGUAACCUCCUUUCUGUUCAUUUUCUACAAAACAUCCACUCAGUCUUUUCCCUCCCCUUUCUUUUCCAUGUAGCCUUCAUUUAAUGUUCUCCAUGUUCUUCCUCCACAAUGUAACCAUCACUUAAUGUUUCCCUUCACCUUUAUUUCCUAUGUAAUCUUCACUCAGUGUUAUAAUCCACUUCCUUUCCUAUACUACCUUCAUUUAAUAUUCCUUUUGAAUUUUGGCACAAGGCCUGACUUUUUUGGGUAGGGAUAUGUCAAUUACAUUUGUCCCAGUAGUCAACUGGUACAACUCAGAAUGUAAAUAUGGAUGAAAUACUGCUAAGCAUUUUGAUUAACAAGCUAACAACUCUGUCAGCUUGCUACCUUAAUAAUAAUGAUAAUAAUCCUUUCUACUCUGGGUACAAGGCUUGAAGUUUUGGGGGAGGGGGCUAGUCAAUUGCAUUGACCAGUGUUUCGCUAGUGCUUAAUUUAUUGACCCUGAGAGGGUGAAAGGCAAAUUUGACCUCAGUGGAAUUUGAACUCAGAACACGUAGUGAUGGGUGAAGUACCAUUAAGCAUUAACCAAAGGGGGUGAGUGAAUGUUAUAUAGAAAUGAACGGGAAGGGGGAAUAAUGAGUGUAGGGGAGGAAAAGUGAUGGUUAUAUAGACAUUGAAAGAAAAGGAGAGCAUUAAAUGAUGGUUAUAUAGAAAUGGAAGUUGAGGGAGAAAACUGAGUGAAGGUUAUAUGCAAAAUGUAUAGGAAAGAGAUCAUUAAGUGAAUGUUAUGUAGGAAAUAAAUGUGAGAUCAUUGAGUGAAGGUUAUAUAGGAAACAAGAUAGAAGAAGAACAUUUUCUGAAAGUUAUAUAGAAAGGGAAGGUGUAAGAAGAUGUUAAGGGAAGGUUGUGUAGAAUAAGAAGGGGAAUGAGAACCUAACUGAUGGUUAUAUAGAAAAAAGAAAGUGAGGAAAAACCCAAAGGGUAGGUUACACAGAGAAUGAAAUGGAAGAAGAAUUUUAACUGAAUGUUAUAUGGAAAAUAAAUGAGAUAGAGACCACAAUGAAAGUUAUUUAGAAAUGGAAGGGAAAGGACGAAUGAAUGAUGGUUACAUAGAAAGGGAAAGAGAGGGUGGACACUUAAGUGAAGGUUUUAUAGAAAAAUAUAAUGUUUAUCAUUUAAAUUGGUUUGAAUUAACUAUGUAUUAUCUCAUAGUGCCAAAAUUUCAAUGAUGUGAUUGUAUAUUUUUAGAAUGACAUUGUAUAGUAGGUGUGAGAGGCUGAAUCUAGUCAGUUUGAACAUAAACAUGUAGAAUACAGGGGCUUGAUAUGGCUGGUUUAAAUGCUAAAGGGUAAUUGAAUGUUAUGUUGAAAAGAAGGUGGAGAGGAACAUUAAGGGUUAUAUAAAAAAUAACAGGGGAAUUCUGAGUGAAGGUUAUACAAGGGGCUACCCAAAAGUAACUGGAAAUGUUCUCUAUGGGACAAACCCAUUGUAGUUCAGGCUUCUGCUGCUAGAAGCCACUUGAUGCAACCCUCAGGCAUCAGUCUGCAGACCGACAACAUUUCUUAUCGUACUGCCACCUGGAUGCAUAUUUGUUUUGCAGUGCUUCUCCCCUGUUCGUCAAUUUUUCUGAUGGCUGAAACAAAGGAACAGCAUGCUUCCAUGAAAUUCUGUUUAUUGCUGGGGAAAAUGGUGGCUGAAACAGUUGUCAUACUUCAAAUAGCUUACAAGAAUUCUGCCAUGUGCAAAACACAAGUUUAUGAGUGGUUUUCAUGCUUUAGGAAUGGUCACGUAUUGCUUUUGUAUUAUAGCAACAAUAUAUAUAUAUAUAUACUCUUUUGCUUGUUUCAGUCAUUUGACUGUGGCCAUGCUGGAGCACCGCCUUUCUAGUCUAGCAAAUCGACCCCAGGACUUAUUCUUUGUAAGCCUAGUACUUAUUCUAUCGCUCUCUUUUGCCGAACCGCUAAGUAAUGGGGACGUAAACACACCAGCAUCGGUUGUCAAGCGAUGUUGGGGGGGACAAACACAGACACGCAAACACACAUAUAUAUACAUAUAUAUAUAUAUAUAUAUAUAUAUGAUGGGCUUCUUUCAGUUUCUGUCUACCAAAUCCACUCAUAAGGCUUUGGUCGGCCCGAGGCUAUAGUAGAAGACACUUGCCCAUAUAUAUAUAUAUAUAUAUAUAUAUAUAUAUAUCAUUAAUUAAAAAAUCUUAGGGUAGCAAAAAUAUUUAUAGAAAAAUUCUUUGUUACCAGUGGUCUAGCGAGAAGGAAAAAUUUAGUCAAUAGACUAUACAUUAUUCAUAGAAGAAUACAGUGUACAUUCAAACACAUAAGAGAUGAUCAAUAAUAGGACAUCUGACUGCUCUUUCUAGUGAGUCAGAUGUCCUAUUAUUGGUCAUCUCUUAUGUGUUUAAAUGUACACUGUAUUUUUCUAUAUCUAUAUAUAUAAAACUGUAGUUGUGUGAGUGUCUGUCCCCUUCGAUUUAGAUUCCUAACUACUCCCACAUUUUGCGGUGCAGUUUAACCAAAUUCGGGUAUCUUAUAGUCGGGAUUCAUAUCGAGCUUGUCUGAGUAUUAGCGCGCGUCUAUGAUGAGUCUACGAUUUUAAAAAUAAUUUAACAUCAUUUUUUAUUCCAUUUUAAUGCAUAAUUUUUCGUGUGUCGAUGGCGGCGGAGUUGGUGUCCAUGGUCACACCUGCACCUGUUUGCUUCUCCCCCUUCUUCCCUCCCUCGUGAAGCUGUGGGGAAGGGAGUGUAAGGAAAUCAACGUCGUAAAGCGUUGUCAAGGAGACUAGCGUUCUUUUAGAACAACGACUUCAUGGCUUGAAGACACCAAAACAGAAAUGGCUAAGAAAGCGUCUACGAUGAGUCUACGAUUUAAAAAAAAAAUUACCAUCAUUUUUUCCAUUUUAAUGCAUUUUUUCGCUAUUAUAUAAGGGAAAAACUCUCUAAAAAUGUCUACGAUGAGUCAACGAUUUAAAAAAAAAUUACCAUCAUUUUUUAUUCCAUUUUUAAUGCAUUUUUUUGCUAUUUUUUAUAACUCUCUAAAAAUGCUUAUAUAGUUAUUUCCCUUACAAACCCGAGCAACGCCGGGCAAUACUGCUAGUUUACAUAUAUAUAGAAAAAUACAAAAAAAUAGUUUCACCAUUCCAUUUCUUUUUACAUUAGGAACAGUUUCAGUUUAACAAUAAUACUUUGUUGAGUGCAUAAAAUCAUAACUCCAUGCAUGUAUGAUAUUUUCAGCUAGAAAUACUUUUUUGAAAAACUUUCGUAUGUGGGACUUACUACACUUUUCAAAGAUGCUAAACCAUCGUACUACACUUUGACAAUUUUUAUAUCUUGGCAUCUGAAGCAGCUGGAGAUACCAAAAGAACCGGCUAUUGAAAGCAAAAUUAAAUCUUGAUAAAAAAAAAAAAAAAAACGUAUUUGGCCAAAUUUGGACAUACAACAGUUUAACAUAAUAGCAAUGAUAGAUCGGUAGCCACUACACACAUUUUUUUCUUCUCUCCUUGUUUUUUUCUGUGUCCCUUUCUGUAGAAGAGCGCAGGCUCAAAAUGUAAAAGACUUUUUCAAUUCCUGAGCGUUAUACUAAUACAUCUGUUUGUUUUCUAUACCACCUGUCUUUGUCUUUUGUUUUUUUGUGAAUUCUCCCUGUAUAUAUAUAUAUAUACACACACACACAUACACACAAAUGCACACAUAUACAGGGUUGGCCAAGAGUCACCCGACAGUAUAUCAAAAUUCCAUAAAUACUUAAUAUUCAAUUUUAUUUAUUCAUUUGGGAAAAUGGUGUUGCUCAAGAAUGACUUCAGUGUGGACAAUUUUCAUGAUGUUUCAUAUUUAGAUGCUUUAUUAAAUUCAUUCAGUUAAACAUAAAUAAAUUUUGAGAAUUAAAUGGUUUUGAUUUACUGUCAGGUGACUUUUGGCCAACCCUGUUUAUAGAUGAUGGGCUUCUUUUAGUUUCUGUCUAGUGAAUCCACUCACGAGGCUUUGGUUGGCCUGAGGUCAUAGUAGAAGACACGUGCUGAAGGCACCACACUGUGGGACAGAACCUGGAACCAUGUGGUUGGAGAGCAAGCUUCUUACCACACAGCCACGCCUGCGCCUAUAUAGAUGUCAAUGUUAUAUAGAGGGUUCAAAUUCCGCCGAGGUCGACUUUGCCUUUCAUCCUUUCUGGGUCGAUAAAUUAAGUACCAGUUACGCACUGGGGUCGAUGGACUUAACCCGUUUGUCUGUCCUUGUUUGUCCCCUCUGUGUGUAGCCCCUUGUGGGUAGUAAAGAAAUAUAUAUAGAAACUAAACAGGUGGAGGACCACUGAGUGAAGGCUUUAUAAAAAGGAAGGAGAAUACUAAGUGAAGAUUAUAUAGAAAAGAAAGAGAAGAGAAGAUAUUUUGUGAAGAUAAUAUAUAAAAGGAAGGGAUGGGAGAACAGUGAGUGAAGAUGAGAUGGAAAAUAAACUGGGUGUUGGGAGAUGAAGGUUGUAUAGAAAAGGUAUAGGAAAACAUUAGCAAUUAAACUUUAUCAUUUAAACCAGUCAUACCCUGUGCAAAUAUUCUACUCAAUUUAUGUUCAAACUGGUCAGAUCCAGCCUCUCACACCUAUUUGACAAUGUCAUUCUUAAAAUAAACAAUCAUAUCAUCAAAAUCUUGAAGCUAUGCGAUAAAGCAUGAUGAACUCAAGAAUGUGAAUAAGUAUGUAUUGACAGAAUAUCAGGCCAAAAUAUUUUUUACGUCUUAUGUUCAAAGUAGCCAGACCUAAAUGAUCAUACUAUCUACCCUGGAAUGUCAUGCUAAAUAUUAACAAUCAUGUCAUUGUAAUCUAUGAAAUAUUACGUGAUUAAUUCAAAACAAGGGGAAUAAAUAAGCAUUACAUUUGGCAGUGUAAUCUGAGCGUUAAAGCCUUAGGUGAAUGUUAUGUAGAAAAGGACGUGUUGGGAGAACCUUAAGUGAAGGUUAUAUAGAAAAGGGAAUUGAAGGGAGAACAUUAAGUGAAGGUUAUAUACAGAAAAUAAGGGGAAGUGAGAACACUGAGGGAAUGUUUUAUAUAGUAAAUGAAGUGGAGAGAGAACAUUUAGUGAAGGUCAUGUGGAAAAAGAAGGGGUGGAGAACACUAAAUGAAAUUUGUAUAGAAAAGAAGGGGAGGGAGAACGUCAAGUGAAGGUUAUAUAGAAAAUGGAGUCGAGGGGGAACAUCAGGUGAAGGUUAUAUAGAAAAGGAAGGGAGGAAGAACAUUAAGUGAAGGUUAUAUUGGAAAUGGAGUCUAAGGGGAACAUUAGGUGAAGGUUAUAUAGAAAGGGGGGGAACGUUAAGUGAAUGUUAUAUAGAAAAUGAAGGAGACGUGGAAGGAACAUUAGGUGAACCUUAUGUGGAAAAGAAGGGGAGGGAGAACGUCAAGUGAAGGUUAUAUAGAAAAUGGAGUCGAGGGGGAACAUCAGGUGAAGGUUAUAUAGAAAAGGAAGGGAGGGAGAACAUUAAGUGAAGGUUAUAUUGGAAAUGGAGUCUAAGGGGAACAUUAGGUGAAGGUUAUAUAGAAAAGAGUGGGGGGAGAACGUUAAGUGAAGGUUAUAUAGAAAAUGAAGGGGAGCAUUAGGUGAAGGUUAUAUUGAAAGGGGGGGAACGUUAAGUGAAUGUUAUAUAGGAAAUGAAGGAGACGGGGGAGGAACAUUAGGUGAAGGUUAUAUAGAAAAGAGUGGGGGGAGAACGUUAAGUGAAUGUUAUAUAGAAAAUGAAGGGGAACAUUAGGUGAAGGUUAUAUAGAAAGGGGGGGGAACGUUAAGUGAAUGUUAUAUAGGAAAUGAAGGAGACGGGGAAGGAACAUUAGGUGAAGGUUAUAUAGAAAAGAGUGGGGGGAGAACGUUAAGUGAAUGUUAUAUAGAAAAUGAAGGAAGGGGAACAUUAGGUGAAGGUUAUAUUGAAAGGGGGGGAACGUUAAGUGAAUGUUAUAUAGGAAAUGAAGGAGACGGGGAAGGAACAUCAGGUGAACCUUAUGUGGAAAAGAAGGGGAGUGAGAACGUUAAGUAAAGGUUAUAUAGAAAAUGAAGGAAGGGGAACAUUAGGUGAAGGUUAUAUUGAAAGGGGGGGAACGUUAAGUGAAUGUUAUAUAGGAAAUGAAGGAGACGGGGAAGGAACAUCAGGUGAACCUUAUGUGGAAAAGAAGGGGAGUGAGAACGUUAAGUAAAGGUUAUAUAGAAAAUGAAGGAAGGGGAACAUUAGGUGAAGGUUAUAUAGAAAAUGGAAAGAAGGAAGAACAGUGAGAGAACGUUACUUUGAAAAGGAAAGGGUAGGAGAACACUAUUUGGGAAAUGAGAACAUUAAGUAAAGGGAGGGAGAAUACUGAGUAAAGGUUACUUAGAAUAUGAACGGUAGGAAGAACUCUAAGUGCAGGUGAAAGAAAAAGGAAGAAGAAUAUAUAUGUCCCAUCAUGGUCACAGUCCCAUGGCUAAAAGAAAAGAGUAUACACAUGCAUCACACAAGUAAAGGUAUUGCUGUAUACAUGCAUACAGUUAUACACUCACAUAUAUGUAGAGAGACACACAGACAAAGAGAGAGAGAGAGAGAGAGACUGACAUUUAGAGAGACAAACAGAUAGACUGAUUGAUAGAUAUCUUGUAUCCUUUAUUUUUUUUUUUUUUACUUAUUUCAGAUAUUAGAUUGAAGCCAUCCUGGGUACCACCCUGAAGUGUUUUAGUUGUACUGGUUUGGUGCUUAUUCAAUCGACUCCUUUUGCUGAACCACUUUGUUACAGGUAUGUAAACAAACCAGUUGUGUUUCUGAAGUGGUGGGGUGGGUGCAACGC
rnacentral:lncRNA from 1 species